GCGUCUGUAGCCUAGUGGUAAAGGCAGCACUCUAGUACACUGAGGUCAUGGGUUCGAAUACCAUCAGACACA
rnacentral:tRNA from 1 species